rnacentral:lncRNA from 1 species
AAUAAUAAAUUAAUUAUAAGUUUUGAAACAUUCAUUUAUUUUAUUAAGCCAACAACUAAACUUUAGUGGUUUAAAAUACAUCAACUAAUUAAUAUAGGAAGAAAGGUUCAUUCAUCUUCCCUAACCAAUGCCACUAGGACCUAAUUUUAAUGUCAUAAUCCCAUAUUUAAUUAUGCAACCUUUUAUUUAGUGUCUUUUGGCUUCUUCAAACUCUAUAAAUAUUAAGCAUUUAAGAUUUAUUAUGUUUGGGGUUUUUUUUUUAACCAACAUCCUCUUUAGAAAUGUUCUUAUGUUUUUAUUUUUUGACUUAUUUAAAUUUUUAGUAUUGUGUGUUUCAUGGAGUGCCCUUUUUCUUCAUGAGUUAAACAAUGAUAAAGAUAAUUGGAUAAUAAGGGUUAGGUUUUGUAAGAUGUGGGAGUUUGUUAAUACCAAGAAAAAUAGAGAGUUGAUUAGUGUGAACAUAAUUUUUAUUGAUGAAAAGGUUGUGUACACUUAACUAUACACAUUAAUAUAUAUUUUUAAUGUUAACAAAAAAAUAAUUAACUUUCAUAAAUAACAU